GCCAGUGUGGUGUAGUGUUUUGAGUGUUGGACUAUGGCUCUGGAGACCAGGGUUCAAAUCCCCACUCAGCCA
rnacentral:tRNA from 1 species